rnacentral:rRNA from 1 species
AACGAACGCUGGCGGCAUGCCUAACACAUGCAAGUCGAACGAAGUCUUCGGACUUAGUGGCGCACGGGUGCGUAACGCGUGGGAAUCUGCCCUUGUGUACGGAAUAACUCAGAGAAAUUUGUGCUAAUACCGUAUAAUGUCUUCGGACCAAAGAUUUAUCGCCCAAGGAUGAGCCCGCGUAAGAUUAGCUAGUUGGUGGGGUAAAAGCCUACCAAGGCGACGAUCUUUAGCUGGUCUGAGAGGAUGAUCAGCCACACUGGGACUGAGACACGGCCCAGACUCCUACGGGAGGCAGCAGUGGGGAAUAUUGGACAAUGGGCGAAAGCCUGAUCCAGCAAUGCCGCGUGAGUGAUGAAGGCCCUUGGGUUGUAAAGCUCUUUUACCAGGGAUGAUAAUGACAGUACCUGGAGAAUAAGCUCCGGCUAACUCCGUG